AAUUUUGGACAAUGGGGGCAACCCUGAUCCAGCCAUGCCGCGUGUGUGAAGAAGGUUUNCGGAUUNUNAAGCACUUUAAGUGGGGNGGAAGGGCUUUAGGCUAAUACCUUGAAGUUUUGACGUUACCAACAGAGUAAGCACCGGCUAACUAUGUGCCAGCAGCCGCGGUAAUACAGAGGGUGCAAGCGUUAAUCGGAAUUACUGGGCGUAAAGCGCGCGUAGGUGGUUCAGUAAGAUGGGUGUGAAAUCCCCGGGCUUAACCUGGGAACUGCUUUCAUAACUGCUAGGCUAGAGUACGGUAGAGGUUAGUGGAAUUUCAUGUGUAGCGGUGAAAUGCGUAGAUAUAGGAAGGAACACCAGUGGCGAAGGCGACUACCUGGACUGAUACUGACACUGAGGUGCGAAAGCGUGGGGAGCAAACA
rnacentral:rRNA from 1 species